rnacentral:rRNA from 1 species
ACGUGGAUAACCUACCUAUAAGACUGGGAUAACUUCGGGAAACCGGAGCUAAUACCGGAUAAUAUUUUGAACCGCAUGGUUCAAAAGUGAAAGACGGUCUUGCUGUCACUUAUAGAUGGAUCCGCGCUGCAUUAGCUAGUUGGUAAGGUAACGGCUUACCAAGGCAACGAUGCAUAGCCGACCUGAGAGGGUGAUCGGCCACACUGGAACUGAGACACGGUCCAGACUCCUACGGGAGGCAGCAGUAGGGAAUCUUCCGCAAUGGGCGAAAGCCUGACGGAGCAACGCCGCGUGAGUGAUGAAGGUCUUCGGAUCGUAAAACUCUGUUAUUAGGGAAGAACAUAUGUGUAAGUAACUGUGCACAUCUUGACGGUACCUAAUCAGAAAGCCACGGCUAACUACGUGCCAGCAGCCGCGGUAAUACGUAGGUGGCAAGCGUUAUCCGGAAUUAUUGGGCGUAAAGCGCGCGUAGGCGGUUUUUUAAGUCUGAUGUGAAAGCCCACGGCUCAACCGUGGAGGGUCAUUGGAAACUGGAAAACUUGAGUGCAGAAGAGGAAAGUGGAAUUCCAUGUGUAGCGGUGAAAUGCGCAGAGAUAUGGAGGAACACCAGUGGCGAAGGCGACUUUCUGGUCUGUAACUGACGCUGAUGUGCGAAAGCGUGGGGAUCAAACAGGAUUAGAUACCCUGGUAGUCCACGCCGUAAACGAUGAGUGCUAAGUGUUAGGGGGUUUCCGCCCCUUAGUGCUGCAGCUAACGCAUUAAGCACUCCGCCUGGGGAGUACGACCGCAAGGUUGAAACUCAAAGGAAUUGACGGGGACCCGCACAAGCGGUGGAGCAUGUGGUUUAAUUCGAAGCAACGCGAAGAACCUUACCAAAUCUUGACAUCCUUU